rnacentral:lncRNA from 1 species
GGUCAAAAACUUAGUAUUCUGAACUAAGGAACUAACCUGUGAAAAGUCUUAUGCGCCACAAGAGAAUUACCAUCAAAGACACACCCAGCAAAGUGCCCACCCCUUGCAAGUAAAAUAAUCCUCAAUCUGGAGUUAUCUCUAGGUUCAUGAAGUAUGUAUCUCAGCUUUUCAAUCACUUCUCUUGGGGUCAAUAUACUACUCCAGCCCAUCCAUGAAUGCGGCUUAUCAGUUCAUAUAGAAAUACUAUCAGACUCAUCAAGAAAUAAGCAUUUCCAUACUGAAACUAUCUCCCCAUCUUUCAAUUGUACACAGAUUUUACGUUUUUGUAUAGUCCACCACAUUCAUGUUUCCUUCGGUCAAGAAUACUAGUCUCUCUCUCAUCCUCAUCAUCUGAUCCAGAAAUACUUGAUACAUCGUAGUCUUUAGUACAAUGAGUUUGAACUUGCUUCAUCAAAGUCUUCCUCUUUAAUAAUGCUCUUUCCAGCAAUGCUUAGCUUUAUCUGUAGAUCAGACAUCAUCGAGUAAAUCAAGAUGCCAAACAACAUAAGGCCUAUAUUACAAGUGAAGGAGUGGGUGCAAACAAUUGUGUUUUUUAUCCACUCUCACUAGAAAUAGAGGCGAAAGAAGUGCACUGUUUCUUUUGAAAAUACAAAAUUAUUGCACAUAAUUUUGUACAUCCUAAGAGAAAACCUUUUCUACAUCAACAAAAUUCACAAGAAUUUAUGAAUCAAAUUGGAUGCAAAUAAACUUUAUGUUACCACCCCUAAGCAAAUCUGAUUACCAAACAAAGAACCGUCGAAUUGACCAAAGCUUAGGCAUCAACUAUUUGCUGAUAUCAGCACAUAUAGAACCUAGCAGAGUUGAAAAUUAAAAUUUCAAGGCAAUUCGCAAGUUUCCAAACUCAAAUUUUCUGCAACAAUCAGCCAACUAUCCUAUCGAUCAAACGAACUAAAUCACUGAAUGUAUACGCUCCAAAUCAUUGCAUCGAAAUCAUAUUGUACAAUGACCUAAAAAUGUAUAAACUGAAAACUAAUUCCAGCUCAGUUAAAUCACACAUGUUCAGUUUCCCCCAAUUGUAUCUGCAAUCGAGAAUUCAAAGACACAAAAUAGAAAAACAGGAAAACAUACAUUGAAACGGUGCAGGUCGGAUUUGAAGUGGUAGCGCUGCUCUUGUAGAGACUCGAACUCCGCCUUACACGUGUUGCAAGACCAUCUCUGCAUAAUUUUACCACUGUUAGUAGCAUUAACAUCAUGAUUGCUGGUGUCGGCAGCUUCUUUUUCCGAUUUCGAUUCUUCGAAGUCAUCAUCCGGCGAAGUUUCAAAAUCCGAUAAAGGAGACGAGGUGGAGUUAAAGAGGCGGCAUGAAUCGAAGAAGUCCGGCGGGAGUUCAAAUAUCGAACGAUGUCGCUUCGUCUGGUCCGGCUUGUUUUGCUUGCGCGGAAGCUGUUUCGCCGCCUUAUCACUGGCGGCGGCGUCGCUCGCCAUGGCUAUCAAAUAACUUGCCUCUUUUAAUACUUGAUGAUUGAAAAGGGUAAUUUUGUGAGCCGUUGAUAUCAAUUUCUUCAAGGGGCUGGCUAUUUAUACCCAUAUGUAAAAAGUGUUAAUAGGCCAAAAUGAGUGAUUUUUCAUAUGUAAAAUACCUUUAGAAAUGAGUGAACUUUAAAAAUAUUCAAAUUAAAAUUUAUCGACGGGCGGCACGUGCCGCUGGGUCGACGGCGUUAGUGUUGACGGGCAACAGAGCGGUGGAAAGAGUGGGAGUUUGCGGCAAGUGGGGAGAGUUUCAAUUAGGGCAAAAUGAGUGUCAGGGACCACACGUUCGAUUUAUGUAAAUUAACAUUAUCGACGGACACAUUCCGUCGAUAAAAAAAUAAAAAAUAUAUUAAAAAGUUCAAAAAAAUCACCGAUGAAAAAAAUUCAUUGGUUAUUGUGUCGAUAAAUCUUGUACGCCGGCCUUUCCAUAGGUGAAAGUGUCAACUUUAAGUAACUCAAUCAUCUGCCGUUAAUUCAUUAUUAUUUUGUCGGUAAUUAAGCAACUGAAUCAUCCGUCAUUAAUUCCUCAUUUUUAUGUCGAUGAUUAAUGACAAACGUGUGUUUCAUAGGUGAUUCCGUCGGUAUUCGAGUACAUUUUGUGCAGUGAAAACCCUGCAAUUGGUGGANUAAAUACAAGUUUACUAAAAGAAACAACAACUCAACAAGUAAUUUGCAAAGAGAGACACAACCUUGAAAAGAUCAUAGAAAAAAAAAUAGCCAAAUAGCAUGAAGAAAAUGACUGUGCUGCUGCAUAUACUUGGGAAAGUAAAUAUAGGACUGUAAAUGAACAAAACUACUCGCAAGCUAUUCAAAAUUCGGCUCGAAAAAAGCUUGUUCGGAGCUUGAUUCGAUAGUAAACGAGCCGAGCUCAGGCCUAUCAGCAUUUGGCUCGUUGAGCUAGCGAACAUGUUCGAAUUCGAUUGUUCGUGAACAUGUUUGCGAACCUAUUCACGAACCUUCAGUCGAACCUUCAAUCGAAUCUUAAACGAGUCGAGCCCAAGCUCGAGUAACAUAUUAAUUAAGAAGCUUUUCCUAAAUUUUUAAUAAGUCGAGCCACAACAUCAUGUAUACGGACAUUUAACGAGCCGAGUUCGAGCUUAAGCUCGAAUUCGAUAUUAUCGAGCAUCACCCGAGCCGAGCUCAAACCGAACCAAACUCGAGCUCGGUAAGUGGGUGAUGAGCCGAGCUCGAUCAACAAUAUUAAAGCUCGAAUCGAACUCGAGCCGAACUCGAACGCCCGAAUAUCUAAACGAGCCAAGCUCGAGCCUACUAGUAUUUGGCUCGGCUCGGCUCGUUUACAGCCCUAAGUAAAUACAAAAACUGCAAGUCUAAAUUAUUAUUGUCAGAAAAGUUUAGAAAAUUGAGUAGAGUCUAUAGACACACAAACACUUCAUCUUCAUAUCAAGGAAGUUGACAACAUAAAGGCAUUGGUCAAAUAGUUGAAGCUAAUGCAUUCCAUUGAAACUAAAUGUGUCAAUCUGUUGGCAAUGCGACGAAUGAGAGCUGGAUGAUGUCCUUUGGAGUGCAAGACAAAGCAAAAAUUGUAACAAUUUUAAUUGGUCAAAAACUUAGUAUUCUGAACUAAGGAACUAACCUGUGAAAAGUCUUAUGCGCCACAAGAGAAUUACCAUCAAAGACACACCCAGCAAAGUGCCCACCCCUUGCAAGUAAAAUAAUCCUCAAUCUGGAGUUAUCUCUAGGUUCAUGAAGUAUGUAUCUCAGCUUUUCAAUCACUUCUCUUGGGGUCAAAUAUACUACUCCAGCCCCAUCCAUGAAAUGCGGCUUAUCAGUUUCAUAUGAAAUACUAUCAGACUCAUCAAGAAAUAAGCAUUUCCAUACUGAAACUAUC